GUAGCUCAGUGGUUAGAGCAUUUGGCUCAUGAUCGUAAGAUCACAAGUUCAAUUCUUGGC
rnacentral:tRNA from 1 species